AAAGAAACCAACAGGGAUUGCCUUAGUAGCGGCGAGUGAAGCGGCAAAAGCUCAAAUUUGAAAUCUGGCUCUUUCAGAGUCCGAGUUGUAAUUUGAAGAAGGUAUCUUUGGGUCUGGCUCUUGUCUAUGUUUCUUGGAACAGAACGUCACAGAGGGUGAGAAUCCCGUGCGAUGAGAUGAUCCAGGCCUAUGUAAAGUUCCUUCGAAGAGUCGAGUUGUUUGGGAAUGCAGCUCUAAGUGGGUGGUAAAUUCCAUCUAAAGCUAAAUAUUGGCGAGAGACCGAUAGCGAACAAGUACAGUGAUGGAAAGAUGAAAAGAACUUUGAAAAGAGAGUGAAAAAGUACGUGAAAUUGUUGAAAGGGAAGGGCUUGAGAUCAGACUUGGUAUUUUGUAUGUUACUUCUUCGGGGGUGGCCUCUACAGUUUAUCGGGCCAGCAUCAGUUUGGGCGGUAGGAGAAUUGCGUUGGAAUGUGGCACGGCUUCGGUUGUGUGUUAUAGCCUUCGUCGAUACUGCCAGCCUAGACUGAGGACUGCGGUUUAUACCUAGGAUGUUGGCAUAAUGAUCUUAAGUCGC
rnacentral:rRNA from 1 species